rnacentral:rRNA from 1 species
AUUGAACGCUGGCGGCAUGCUUUACACAUGCAAGUCGAACGGCAGCGCGGGCUUCGGCCUGGCGGCGAGUGGCGAACGGGUGAGUAAUGCAUCGGAACGUGCCCAGUAGUGGGGGAUAGCCCGGCGAAAGCCGGAUUAAUACCGCACACGACCUGAGGGUGAAAGCGGGGGACCGAAAGGCCUCGCGCUAUUGGAGCGGCCGAUGUCGGAUUAGCUAGUUGGUGGGGUAAAGGCUUACCAAGGCGACGAUCCGUAGCUGGUCUGAGAGGACGACCAGCCACACUGGGACUGAGACACGGCCCAGACUCCUUCGGGAGGCAGCAGUGGGGAAUUUUGGACAAUGGGGGCAACCCUGAUCCAGCCAUGCCGCGUGCGGGAAGAAGGCCUUCGGGUUGUAAAACGCUUUUGUUCGGGAAGAAAUCCUCUGGGCUAAUACCCCGGGGGGAUGACGGUACCGGAAGAAUAAGCACCGGCUAACUACGUG